GAGUUUGAUCGUGGCUCAGAACGAACGCUGGCGGCAUGCCUAACACAUGCAAGUCGAACGAACUCUUCGGAGUUAGUGGCGCACGGGUGCGUAACGCGUGGGAGUCUGCCCUUGGGUACGGAAUAACUCGGAGAAAUUUGUGCUAAUACCGUAUAAUGACUUCGGUCCAAAGAUUUAUCGCCCAAGGAUGAGCCCGCGUAAGAUUAGCUAGUUGGUGGGGUAAAGGCCUACCAAGGCUACGAUCUUUAGCUGGUCUGAGAGGAUGAUCAGCCACACUGGGACUGAGACACGGCCCAGACUCCUACGGGAGGCAGCAGUGGGGAAUAUUGGACAAUGGGCGAAAGCCUGAUCCAGCAAUGCCGCGUGAGUGAUGAAGGCCUUAGGGUUGUAAAGCUCUUUUACCCGGGAUGAUAAUGACAGUACCGGGAGAAUAAGCUCCGGCUAACUCCGUGCCAGCCGCCGCAGUAACAC
rnacentral:rRNA from 1 species